rnacentral:rRNA from 1 species
AUUGAACGCUGGCGGCAGGCCUAACACAUGCAAGUCGAACGAGUGGCGGACGGGUGAGUAAUGUCUGGGAAACUGCCCGAUGGAGGGGGAUAACUACUGGAAACGGUAGCUAAUACCGCAUACCAUCGGAUGAACCCAUAUGGGAUUAGCUAGUUGGUGAGGUAAUGGCUCACCAAGGCGACGAUCCCUAGCUGGUCUGAGAGGAUGAUCAGCCACACUGGGACUGAGACAAGGGGCAGAAUACUACGGGAGGCAGCAGUUGGGAAUAUUGCACAAUGGGCUCAAGACUUAGGCAGCCAUGCCGCGUGUAGGAAGAAGUCCGUAGGGUUGUAAAGUACUUUCAGUCGGGAGGCGUUACGGUCAGAAGAAGCACCGGCUAACUCCGUGCCAGCAGCCGAGGUAAUAC